CCCACCCUGCCUAAAACCCAGUAUAGAGCCCAGCCCACCCUGUCUAAAACCCAGUCGAUGUGUGACCUUAAGCGUUUGACCUCUGUAGGCUCAGGGACAAACAGCCCAGUCCAACCCAGCACAGCCAAGUCGUGGCCAAAUCCCAGCCUCAAUAGAAACACUUAGUCUCCAGGAAAUGAAUAUAGGAUGUUAUGCACAGACUGUGAAGGACAACCAACCCUGUCCAACAUAGACAACCCAGCACAACACAAAAAAGACCCAGUUUAGCCUGAACUACAUUAAGAUAUGGUGCCAUAUGCUCAGAUUAAAAGAUCACUAGGUAGACUAGUGGUUAGAGUGGAGGGGCGGCAGGUAGACUAGUGGUUAGAGUGGAGGGACGGCAGGUAGACUAGUGGUUAGAGUGGAGGGGCGGCAGGUAGACUAGUGGUUAGAGUGGAGGGACGGCAGGUAGACUAGUGGUUAGAGUGGAGGGACGGCAGGUAGACUAGUGGUUAGAGUGGAGGGACGGCAGGUAGACUAGUGGUUAGAGUGGAGGGACGGCAGGUAGCCUAGUGGUUAGAGUGGA